rnacentral:miRNA from 1 species
UCCCUGAGACUUUAACUUGUGA